GCCUGGGUGGCUUAGUCGGUUAAGUGUCUGACUUCAGCUCAGGUCAUGAUCUCAUGGUUCGUGGGUUCGAGCCCCGCAUCGGGCU
rnacentral:tRNA from 1 species